CGUAGGCGGCAAGCGUUGUCCGGAUUUAUUGGGUUUAAAGGGUGCGUAGGUGGCCCUGUAAGUCAGUGGUGAAAUAUCUCAGCUUAACUGAGAGGGUGCCAUUGAUACUGCAGGGCUUGAGUACAGAUGAGGUAGGCGGAAUUGACGGUGUAGCGGUGAAAUGCAUAGAUAUCGUCAAGAACACCGAUAGCGAAGGCAGCUUACCAAGCUGUAACUGACACUGAGGCACGAAAGUGUGGGGAUCAAAACAGGAUUAGAUACCCUGGUAGUCCACACUGUAAACGUUGAUGACUCGAUGUUGGCGAUACACAGCCAGCGUCCAAGAGCCAAUCGUUAAGUCAUCCACCUGGGGAGUACGCCGGCAACGGUG
rnacentral:rRNA from 1 species